rnacentral:rRNA from 1 species
CAGUCGCCGCGGGAAAACGGAGGGUGCAAGUGUUAAUCGGAAUUACUGGGCGUAGAGCGCACGCAGGCGGUUUGUUAAGUCAGAUGUGAAAUCCCCGGGCUCAACCUGGGAACUGCAUCUGAUACUGGCAAACUUGAGUCUCGUAGAGGGGGGUAGAAUUCCAGGUGUAGCAGUGAAAUGCGUAGAGAUGUGGAGGAAUACCGAUGGCGAAGGCAGCCCCCUGGGCCAAUACUGACGCUCAUGCACGAAAGCGUGGGGAGCAAACAGGAUUAGAUACCCCUGUAGUCCCUGUCUCUUAUAC